rnacentral:rRNA from 1 species
GUGCCAGCAGCCGCGGUAAUACGUAGGGUGCGAGCGUUAAUCGGAAUUACUGGGCGUAAAGCGUGCGCAGGCGGUUAUAUAAGACAGUUGCGAAAUCCCCGGGCUUAACCUGGGAAUGGCGCUUGUGACUGCACGACUGGAGUGCGGCAGAGGGGGAUGGAAUUCCGCGUGUAGCAGUGAAAUGCGUAGAUAUGCGGAGGAACACCGAUGGCGAAGGCAGUCCCCUGGGCCUGCACUGACGCUCAUGCACGAAAGCGUGGGGACAAACAGGAUUAGAU